AUGGUUGGGGGAGGAGGGGGAGGGGCGCUGCGGCGUGUGGGCAAGUACGAGGUGGGGCGGACCAUCGGGGAGGGGACGUUCGCCAAGGUCAAGUUCGCGCAGAACACGGAGACAGGGGAGAGCGUCGCCAUGAAGGUGCUCGAUCGCUCCUCCAUCCUCAAGCACAAGAUGGUGGAUCAGAUCAAGAGAGAGAUAUCCAUAAUGAAGCUCGUGAGGCAUCCCAAUGUGGUCAGAUUACAUGAGGUUUUGGCGAGCCGAAAGAAGAUAUUUAUAAUCUUGGAGUUCAUCACUGGUGGUGAACUAUUUGACAAAAUUAUUCGUCAUGGGAGACUCAGUGAAGCGGAUGCACGUAAAUACUUUCAGCAGCUUAUUGAUGGUGUUGAUUUUUGCCACAGCAAAGGAGUCUACCAUCGAGAUCUAAAGCCUGAAAAUCUUCUCCUUGAUUCCCAAGGAAAUCUUAAAAUUUCAGACUUUGGACUCAGUGCAUGGCCUGCACAGGGAGCUGCCCUUCUACGCACUACCUGUGGAACCCCAAACUAUGUUGCCCCAGAGGUUCUUAGUCAUAAAGGAUAUGAUGGAGCACUUGCUGAUACAUGGUCAUGUGGAGUUAUUCUAUAUGUCCUGUUGGCAGGUUAUCUUCCCUUCGAUGAAGUAGAUUUGACUACCCUUUAUGGGAAGAUUGAGACCGCAGAAUAUUCAUUCCCAGCUGUGUUUCCAAGUGGUGCUAAGUCACUGAUACGUAGAAUUCUGGAUCCUAGCCCAGAUACACGAAUCAGGAUAGAAGAGAUCAGAAAGGAUGAAUGGUUUAAGAAAGAUUAUGAACCUGUCAGGGAAGUAGAAAAUGAAGAAGUCAAUCUCGAUGAUGUUAAUGCAGCUUUUGAUGAUCCUGAGGAGGACAAUGAACAUACUUUUGACGAUGAAGCAGGCCCUUUGACGCUCAAUGCAUUCGAUCUAAUUAUUCUAUCUCAAGGGUUGAACCUUUCUGCCCUAUUUGAUCGCCGACAGGACUAUGGCAAGCUUCAAAAUAGAUUUUUAUCACGCAAACCAGCAAAUGUUAUAUUGUCAAGUAUGGAGGUUGUUGCUCAAUCCAUGGGGUUUAAGACACAUAUUCGCAAUUAUAAGAUGAGGGUGGAAGGUCCAAAUGCGAACAAGACUAGCCAUCUCACAAUUAUGCUUCAAAUUUUUGAAGUUGCCCCAUCAAUCUUUAUGGUGGAAUUAGAGAGAUCUGCUGGAGAUACUUCAGAUUAUAAUAAGUUCGUAAACAACUACUGCUCCAAAUUAGAUGAUAUCACCUGGAAAGUUUCUGCUGAGAAGGGAAAAUCUAGGACAUCCCGGCUAUCGAAGCGCUAA
rnacentral:rRNA from 1 species